CCUACGGGUGGCAGCAGUGGGGGAUAUUGCACAAUGGGGGGAACCCUGAUGCAGCGACGCCGCGUGGGUGAAGGAGUGCUUCGGCAUGUAAAGCCCUAUCGGCAGGGAAGAAGCAAGACGGUACCUGACUAAGAAGCCCCGGCUAACUACGUGCCAGCAGCCGCGGUAAUACGUAGGGGGCGAGCGUUAUCCGGAUUCACUGGGUGUAAAGGGAGCGUAGACGGCCAUGCAAGCCAGGGGUGAAAGCCCGGGGCACAACCCCGGGACUGCCCUUGGAACUGUGCGGCUAGAGUGCGGGAGGGGCAGGCGGAAUUCCUGGUGUAGGGGUGAAAUGCGUAGAUAUCAGGAGGAACAGCGGCGGCGAAGGCGGCCUGCUGGACCGCGACUGACGUUGAGGCUCGAAAGCGUGGGGAGCGAACAGGAUUAGAUACCCGGGUAGUC
rnacentral:rRNA from 1 species